UCUUGCAUUUACACAUGGACAGAAAGUUACGAAACAAAAAGAGCGCACAAUGAACAACAAGUGGAUGAAUUAAUCUGGUUGUGUGAUUUGUAGCCUUUUGUUUAAAUUAUUCUAUUCAAGUCCUGACUGGCCUGAUUUUUGCAUUUUGAAUGAAUGGGAAUAAAGAGCGUAGAUGCGGUAUAUAAAAUAUAAUUCAAUAG
rnacentral:RNase_P_RNA from 12 species